GCCAGAGUGGUGAAAUGGCAUACACGCAGGAUUUAGGAUCCUGUGCCGUAAGGCGUGAGGGUUCAACUCCCUCCUCUGGCA
rnacentral:tRNA from 1 species